AAUAGAUACCCGGGUAGUCCACGCCGUAAACGAUGAGUGCUAAGUGUUAGAGGGUUUCCGCCCUUUAGUGCUGCAGCUAACGCAUUAAGCACUCCGCCUGGGGAGUACGGUCGCAAGACUGAAACUCAAAGGAAUUGACGGGGGCCCGCACAAGCGGUGGAGCAUGUGGUUUAAUUCGAAGCAACGCGAAGAACCUUACCAGGUCUUGACAUACCACUGACCGGUAUAGAGAUAUACCUUUCCCUUCGGGGACAGUGGUGACAGGUGGUGCAUGGUUGUCGUCAGCUCGUGUCGUGAGAUGUUGGGUUAAGUCCCGCAACGAGCGCAACCCUUGAUCUUAGUUGCCAGCAUUUAGUUGGGCACUCUAAGGUGACUGCCGGUGACAAACCGGAGGAAGGUGGGGAUGACGUCAAAUCAUCAUGCCCCUUAUGACCUGGGCUACACACGUGCUACAAUGGAUGGUACAAAGGGCUGCAAGACUGCGAAGUCAAGCCAAUCCCAUAAAACCCAUUCUCAGUUCGGAUUGCAGG
rnacentral:rRNA from 1 species